rnacentral:rRNA from 1 species
UACAUGGGGUGCAAACGUUGUUCGGAAUCAUUGGGCGUAAAGCGGGUGUAGGCGGCUCUAUAAGUCAGAAGUGAAAGCCCCGAGCUUAACUUGGGAAGUGCUUUUGAUACUGCAGAGCUUGAAUGUGGGAGAGGGUAGUGGAAUUCCAGGUGUAGUGGUGAAAUACGUAGAUAUCUGGAGGAACACCGGUGGCGAAGGCGGCUACCUGGCCCAACAUUGACGCUGAGACCCGAAAGCAUGGGGAUCAAACAGG